CGGGUGCACUGAUCCAGCCGGGCCUUUCCCUCUGUGGAACCCCAUGGCCUUCACUGGCUGUGGUGGGGAAACAGGACUUUUACUUUGAAAAAAUUAGAGUGCUCCAGGCAGGCCUAUGCUCGAAUACAUUAGCAUGGAAUAAUAGAAUAGGACGUGUGGUUCUAUUUUGUUGGUUUCUAGGACCGCCGUAAUGAUUAAUAGGGACAGUCGGGGGCAUCAGUAUUCAAUUGUCAGAGGUGAAAUUCUUGGAUCUAUUGAAGGCUAACUACUGCGAAAGCAUUUGCCAAGGAUGUUUUCAUUGAUAAGGAACGAAAGUUAGGGGAUCGAAGACGAUCAGAUACCGUCGUAGUCUUAACUAUAAACUAUGCCGACUAGGGAUCGGACGAUGUUAUUCUUUGACGCGUUCGGCACCUUUCGAGAAAUCAAAGUGCUUGGGCUCCAGGGGGAGUAUGGUCGCAAGGCUGAAACUUAAAGAAAUUGACGGAAGGGCACCACCAGGGGUGGAACCUGCGGCUUAAUUUGACUCAACACGGGGAAACUCACCAGGUCCAGACACAGUGAGGAUUGACAGAUUGAGAGCUCUUUCUUGAUUCUGUGGGUGGUGGUGCAUGGGCCGUUCUUAGUUGGUGGAGUGAUUUGUCUGCUUAAUUGCGAUAACGAACGAGACCUUAACCUGCUAAAUAGCCCGUACUGCUUUGGCAGUUCGCCGGCUUCUUAGAGGGACUAUCGG
rnacentral:rRNA from 1 species